UGGGGAAUCUUCCGCAAUGGGCGCAAGCCUGACGGAGCAACGCCGCGUGAGUGAAGAAGGUCUUCGGAUCGUAAAGCUCUGUUGAUGGGGACGAACGUGCCUAAUGCGAAUAGUAUUAGGUAAUGACGGUACCCAUCGAGGAAGCCACGGCUAACUACGUGCCAGCAGCCGCGGUAAUACGUAGGUGGCGAGCGUUGUCCGGAAUCAUUGGGCGUAAAGGGAGCGCAGGCGGGCAUGUAAGUCUUUCUUAAAAGUGCGGGGCUCAACCCCGUGAUGGGAAAGAAACUAUGUGUCUUGAGUACAGGAGAGGAAAGCGGAAUUCCCAGUGUAGCGGUGAAAUGCGUAGAUAUUGGGAGGAACACCAGUGGCGAAGGCGGCUUUCUGGACUGCAACUGACGCUGAGGCUCGAAAGCCAGGGGAGCGAACG
rnacentral:rRNA from 1 species